CCGAGUUUAAGCUUGUGAGAGUCACACGACUCUUCCUAGUUUUCUUCACAUUGGGGGAAAGCCUUCACAUGCACUAUUUGUGGGAGAGCUUGAUACUUUGCAAUGCGCAUUUCAGUGUGCUUUUCUGUUAUUAUUGCUUAUUUGACCCCCCCCCUCUUGUUUGCAUCCCCUUAAAGAAUCAUGGAAGACAAGCAGGAAAGGAAUGGAGCCUCCUGGUAAAGAGUCAAAGAAGACUCAGGAAGGUUGCGCAAUAA
rnacentral:lncRNA from 1 species